rnacentral:sRNA from 1 species
GUUUCAAUUCCUCAUAGGCAGGCUAUCGGCGAAUCGCGUAAGUCUCGCUGUCGUUGAAGCAUACAAG